UACGUAGGGUGCAAGCGUUGUUCGGAUUCAUUGGGCGUAAAGGGUGCGUAGGUGGUGAUGCAAGUCUGGUGUGAAAUCUCGGAGCUCAACUCCGAAAUUGCACCGGAUACUGCGUGACUCGAGGACUGUAGAGGAGAUCGGAAUUCACGGUGUAGCAGUGAAAUGCGUAGAUAUCGUGAGGAAGACCAGUUGCGAAGGCGGAUCUCUGGGCAGUUCCUGACACUGAGGCACGAAGGCCAGGGGAGCAAACGGG
rnacentral:rRNA from 1 species